rnacentral:rRNA from 1 species
GACGUAGGUGGCGAACGUUAUCCGGAAUUAUUGGGCGUAAAGGGUGCGUAGGCGGCAUGAUAAGUUAUUGGCGGCAAAUCGAGGCUCAACCUCGUGGAAACUGAUAAUACUGUCUUGCUUGAGUGCAGAAGAGGUUAACGGAACUCCAUGUGGAGCGGUAAAAUGUGUAGAUAUAUGGAAGAACAUCAAUAACGGCGAAGGCAGUUAACUAUUCUGUUACUGACGUUGAGGCACGAAAGCGUGGGGAGCGAACAGG